GUGUUACAUGUCUCUAUGCCUUUAUUUCUCUUCUGAUCUCAACUAACUGCUGUUCAUUUCUGACAUUUCCAGGCUGUGCUGGCUCCUCAGAGUCCUCAUGCGUUUAAAAGGCCAACAGCUUUUGCUUUUCCUGUUGCAUUCCGCUUACGGGUUGGAUGAAGGAGAAACACAAGUAAAUAAUGGAAGAAAUCUGUAUAUUCUGAAACUCCUGAAAUAAUAAAAACAAAACCAAGACCUCUCUGGGGGUAUAAAAACAGCGAAUAGGACUGAUGAGAGCAAACGGCUGGAGGUGAUCAGGAUCGCGGAAACCAACCCAUCAACUCUCCUCCGUACCUGCUGCGUGAAACUAACCGUGCUGUUAUUAAAGUGAGUCGCCGUUUCUACCCGGGCCUAGUGCUCUAUCCUUUUCUCACGCAAUAAUUUUGCCAGUAGGAACGGAUGUUUAAAAAAUAUGGAAGAACACAGGAAAACUGCACAAGGCGAUUUACCUCUAAUAGGUAGAUACGUUAACACACAGAUGAGACGUGAAUUUUCUCCAAUUUGGAAACAAGCAAAUUUUGCCUUCUUUGCGAUUGCCGUUCAAACAUUCCACUCAUGCCGUCACGAGUCCCAUCCGUGCCUGCUCAGUCAUUUCCACUGCAGGGACCACCUCCCCACCCCGCACAUCACAGUCCAACAGGACAAAGUCAAGCACCUGAUCUGAAUGCACCGCAUUUCCCAUUUCCUGAUUGUAUAUUUAAUAAUCUAGGAAGAUUUUCGGAGUACUUUCAGCAUUCACAGAGCCACAUACAGUGGUUAACAAACAGACAGGCUUUGAUGCCAAAUCAGGUCGGGAGGUGACCCUGGGCAAGCGACCCGACUUCAGGGUUUCUCAUCUGUGAAGCGGGGGCUCUGACCCUCGUAGGCUGCUGUGAAAAACCAGUGACGUCAAAUACUCAGAACAGGCCUGUCAUCACGGUAAGCACCAGAUAAAAGUCAUCAGUGGUGACUUCAUGUUCAGGGUUCCUCCUAAUCUGUGAUGUCCUCUUCUCUUACCCAAAGAUCCUACUCCAUACACUCGUGCUGGUUUCAGCUCCCUCUCGGCUCGGGCGUAUUUUGCUGCUGCCACCAUUUUCAUAGACUUGGUAAUUUUCUGGAU